rnacentral:antisense_RNA from 1 species
UUCUUCCGGCCGCUCUGACCCCGGGGCUGCGGCUCCGAGAUAGCUCAGGGCCUGGAAGUGCAUGCUGGAACCAACUACAUAAUCCUUGGUAAGAAAAGGAGGUGGCCCUGACAAGUGCAACUCAAGAAAUGCAAUGCUGUAGAGUCCAAAGGUGUCUGACUUGAACGAAAUGAUCCCACUGGGGGACAACGCAACAUAUACUCCAGGGUCAGGUUUUGUCAUGAUGCAGCAAGGAGAUCUGUUCCUAACUUGGACUUGGUUGUCUAACCCUCAUCUCUUCUCUUUAUUACAAGUUGAACUGGAACUUACACCUUGCUUCUCCUGUUCUCAGGAGACUUGGACUGGAACUAUACCACCAGCUGUCUCGGAUCUCCGGCUUGCAGAUGGCACAUCAUGGGACUUCUCAGUCUCCAUCACUGCAUGAGCCAAUUCCUUAUAAUAAAUUUCUGUCUCUCUCGUUAUAUAUAUCCUGGAGAACCCUCAGGAACCUUGACUAAUACACAAGAUAAAUUCAGUUUUAAUUGUA